rnacentral:rRNA from 1 species
AUACGGAGGGUGCAAGCGUUGUUCGGAUUUAUUGGGCGUAAAGCGAGUGUAGGCGGUUUGACAAGUCGAAUGUGAAAUCCCGAGGCCCAACCUCGGAACUGCAUCCGAAACUGUCAGGCUAGAGUUCCGGAGAGGGUGGCGGAAUUCCCGGUGUAGGGGUGAAAUCCGUAGAUAUCGGGAGGAACACCAGUGGCGAAGGCGGCCACCUGGACGGUGACUGACGCUGAGACUCGAAAGCGUGGGUAGCAAACAGGAUUAGAUACCCGAGUAGUCC